AAGAGAAAACGCUAUAAUAUUUGUUAAUUAACCAACCGUGGUAUUACGUUUCAUAAUUAGUUAGUAAUAGUUUGGGCGAAGAUAUAAUAUUUACAAUAUAAAUAUAAUUAGACUGCCCUCUUGUGGUCAUACAGUGUAUUACAGCGGCCCGUUGUUGUAAAGGCAGACACAAUUACACCGUUUUACUUCCGUUUAGUACUUUCAAAACAAAAUAAAAUAGCUUUUACAUAAUUUGUACCGUUUUACUGGAAUAUUUUGCAGAAUAUUUCAAAACUCCUAAACUAAAUAAAUGUUAAAGACUUGCAGACAAAAUUGUUUGGGUGUAUUAUGUUAUAUAUCUAAAGGUUUUAUUUUGUGCUUCUGCAUAUGGUUUUGAUCUGCCUCCAUAGAAAAAGAGAGUUUUAAAUUAUAUGCGACCUGUUCCUGCUUAAAUAAAAACAUUGUCAUUGUCACAGCGGUCAUAGUUUUAUCAUGAAAUUGUCACUGUACAUCCAAAUACAUAAUAGAGAAACACUUUGGAGACAUUUUCUACUCCUUCAAGACAUUUAAAUUAACUUUUUUAGGCAACAAUUUAAUUCUGAUUUACGGCUAAAUGAACCCAUAAUUUAGAGCUAACAAUAUAGUCUUUAUUAACCAAAAUAGAGUUUUAAAGUUCGUCUUUAUUUCCAGCUUCUACAUUAUUUUCUACUCUGCUCCUUCACUGGAGAACACCUCGUUCACGGUCCUCUGGCGCCACCUACCGGAUCAACAGAGAACUACAACAACACCGGGAAACAGGACAACGACAUGGCGGCCGCCGCAAGGCUCAUAUCAAGGUUGACUCUGGUCACUGUGUAUAAAUCACGGUUAUACUGCCCUCCUGUGGUCAUACUGUGUAUUACACCAACCCGCUACUUCCGCUUCUACAUUAUUUUCUACUCUGCUCCUUCACUGGAGAACACCUCGUUCACGGUCCUCUGGCGCCACCUACCGGAUCAACAGAGAACUACAACAACACCGGGAAACAGGACAACGACAUGGCGGCCGCCGCAAGGCUCAUAUCAAGGUUGACUCUGGUCACUGGUACGUUUAUAUUUCACCGUGAAACAUUAUAAUUCAGUGUGUAAAAACAUUGUUAGAUAAAUACAGAAUAGUCGCUUUACA
rnacentral:lncRNA from 15 species